UACGAAGGUGGCUAGCGUUGUUCGGAAUCACUGGGCUUAAAGAGCACGUAGGCGGAAAUGAAAGUGCCUUGUGAAAUCCCUCGGCUUAACCGAGGAAUCGUUGGGCAAACUACAUUUCUUGAGGCAAGCAGGGGUGUGUGGAACUCUUGGUGGAGCGGUGGAAUGCGUAGAUAUCAAGAGGAACGCCGAAGGUGAAGACAGCACACUGGGCUUGUCCUGACGCUGAGGUGCGAAAGCGUGGGGAGCAAACGGA
rnacentral:rRNA from 1 species